AAAAAAAAAGAAAAUAGGCUGAGAGAAGUGACUUGCUCAAGGGGUCACACAGUGAUGGCAGAGAUUUGAGUCCUGGGUGGUCUUAUGUAAGAAAAUUAAAAGCUGGAGCAUCACAGCCUUAACUUGAGGUCAACAUCUGGCCAGUCUCCCAAAGGACACCUGAAUGCUUCUAACCUGCCCCCCACCCCUACCGCAAAUGCCCCUGGAGUGAACAUCACUGUAUGUGUCUCACAGAGCUGAACAUGUUUGGGAUAUGAGCCUAGAACCAGAAUUAAGGAGUCAGAGGUUUGCCAGGAUACUUUGCCAGGCUUGGAGCUUCACAUCUGCCCUGGGUGUGUCUGGCUCCUCUUUCUCCCCUGGUAUAGGCCUUCAUUACGUUUUGAGGCCUACUCCGGCCCUCCUGGGAGCUGGGACUGAGAGCUCACCACUAUGGGGCUGCAAGAGAGGUGGGACAUGUUCUUCCAGACAGCGAGUUUAAGACCAAAAUAGCCUGUGCCCACACUUGUGUCUGCUGUUGCUCUGUUUGUGGAAACCCCCAAGCCUAUGGAAUGUCAAGACUGCACAGAGAAGUCGUCAAGAAUGUCUGGUCCACAUGGCGUCAAGGAAACGGCUGGUGAAAUCACUCAGGGCUAAGAUUCCCCCUUUUGGGGCUGCUUGGGGCCCCUUAACAGGCUGUCCUAGACUCUGCCACUCAGGCGUGGCUCUUCCACGCUCUGGACCUGUUUCAUCCACAGGAUUACAGGGGAGAGUCAGAUGACAGCAUGGUUGUGAUUUAUGAGCCGUAAAGUACUGGACAUAAGUGAAGAGC